ACAGGCAUACGCCACCGCACCUGGCCCAAAUUAUUAAUUGUACGUAUUCUCAUUGUUCUGCUUCUUCCAAGAAAACUGAAGUCACGGUAUUCUGAAGACUAGAGAUGAUUCAACAGGCUGUGAAUCUAUUCCAUUUGGAAUCCUACUGGGCCUGAUCUGUUUUCCAUUGCCAAGGCACUGCUGUUUAAGCUAUACCAUAUGAAGCACCCUCCCUAAAGGCUCAGGGGCCAUAGUGAAAGAGGACACAUGGGAUUGUAAGAGCCAGAUUAUGGGGGUGGAGGGUAAAGGCUGAAGCAAGUCCAUCUUGGAUGCUAACUCACUAUGUUAGCUUCUGAUUAACCCCAGUUCCAGGAAGGCUGCUGAAAUUUCCAGUUUAUGUGUUGUUCCUUGUGUAAGAGCAUGGACUUACUGCAAAUCCUGCCCUUAGGGCAAAUUCCUACCUAUUCCUGCGGAAGCAUGUGUAUCAUUCCCCUAUGGUUUAUAACCCCUGAGUCUGGGGGUAAUGGCACGGGGACCCACCAGCUUGUCUGCCGCCAUCUGGGGCUGGAGUGCAAUGGCAUGAUCUCAGCUCACUGCAACCUCUGCCUCCCGGGUUCAAGCAAUUCUCCUGUCUCAGCCUCCUGAGUAGCUGGAUUACAGAGAAACACAGAGGAGAGACCCAGAGAGAAGGAGAAGGCCGCAUGAAGAUGGAGCAGAGACUGGAGUUAUUCAGCCAAGUCAAGGAAUGCCUGGAGCACCAGAAGCCGGAAGAGGCAAGGAAGGAUCCUCCCUUAGAGCAUUUGGAAGAGUGUGGCCCUGCCAACACCUUGACUUCAAACUUCUGGCCUCCAUAACUAUGAAAUAAAUUCUUGUUGUUUUAA
rnacentral:lncRNA from 1 species